AUUCAGCUGACGAGUCUCAAAUAGGCCGAAACAUGCGUCCUGGAU
rfam:Schistosoma rodhaini strain Burundi genome assembly, scaffold: SROB_scaffold0000051